rnacentral:rRNA from 1 species
UCCUACGGGGCGCAGCAGUGAGGAAUAUUGGUCAAUGGCCGAGAGGCUGAACCAGCCAAGUCGCGUGAGGGAAGCCGGCCCUCCGGGUUGUACACCUCUUUUGUCGGGGAGCCCAGCGAACCACGUGUGGUUCAUUGAGAGUACCCGAAGAAAAAGCAUCGGCUAACUCCGUGCCAGCAGCCGCGGUAAUACGGAGGAUGCGAGCGUUAUCCGGAUUUCUUGGGUUUAAAGGGUGCGCAGGCGGAGGUGCACGUCAGCGGUCACAUUGCGGGGCUCAACCCCGUACUGCCGUUGAAACUGCAUCC